CUCUAUCCCCUCUCUGCUUUUCUUCUCCAAGGACGGGCGUGACGUCGCCGCGUCCAUGUCGGAGACGCCCUGGCGCCUGAGCCGUCCUGGGUUUCUCCGCCCCUCCUCUCUAUAAAACGAGCGCCCCAACUCUUUCCAACCCUAGCCGCGCCGAGGAAAACCCUAGACCCUUCUUCUUCUUCCUCUCGCUCGUCGUCGCGCCGCCGCCCGAAGGUUCCCGUGGCCGCCCGUCGGAGACCCGCCGCCUCGAGGGAAUCGACCGGAAAAGCUUCGACGCGAUGGAUUCGACCCCGUCAUCGUCUACGGCCGCCGGCGACCUUUCUCCGAAAUUCGGCGACUCCUUCCUCCUAGGGCGCGAUCUCUUCCCCUCCAAGCCUCUCGAGCCUCCGUACGAGCAGGUUUCUGGCUACUUCAUGGAGUACGACGACAUUGACUUCGACGCUUGAGCCAGGAGAUCCAGAUCAGGGUUCUGAGAUCCGUGGUGGUCCCAUUUACAGUUUCAGCCUCUUAGGCAUUCUUGUAAUCUUGCCCGUACUCGGCAUAAUUUGCUUUCGCUGAUGAAUGAUGAUUGUGGACAUGUGUCCAAUGAGAUGUAAUAACUUGGUAUUUUGCUCCUUGUAUGAGCUUUGAAUUAUUUCUGUUGUUGUAGGGUGAUGUUGUGAUA